GACGAACGCUGGCGGCGUGCUUAACACAUGCAAGUCGAACGGAAAGGCCCUGCUUUUGUGGGGUGCUCGAGUGGCGAACGGGUGAGUAACACGUGAGUAACCUGCCCUUUACUUUGGGAUAACUUCAGGAAACUGGGGCUAAUACCGGAUAGGAGCUCCUGCUGCAUGGUGGGGGUUGGAAAGUUUCGGCGGUUGGGGAUUGACUCGCGGCUUAUCAGCUUUUUGGUGGGGUAGUGGCUUACCAAGGGUUUGACGGGUAGCCGGCAUGAGAGGGUGACCGGCCACAUUGGGACUGAGAUACGGCCCAGACUGCUACGGGAGGCAGCAGUGGGGAAUAUUGCACAAUGGGCGGAAGCCUGAUGAAGCAACGCCGCGUGCGGGAUGACGGCCUUCGGGUUGUAAAACGCUUUCGCAUGUGACGAAGCGUGAGUGACGGUAAUGGGUAAAGAAGCACCGGCUAACUACGUG
rnacentral:rRNA from 1 species